AGGGCGUCUGGUGAAUGCCUUGGCACUGAAAGUCGAUGAAGGACGUGAUAUACUGCGAUAAGUUUCGGGGAGUUGUAUGUAAACUUUGAUCCGAAAAUUUCCGAAUGGGAAAACCCAACUCUUUAAGAGUUAUUUCAAACUGAAUACAUAGGUUUGAAAAGGCAACCUAGGGAACUGAAACAUCUAAGUACCUAGAGGAAAAGAAAUCAAUUGAGAUUCCGUCAGUAGUGGCGAGCGAACGCGGAACAGGCCUGUAGUUUUAUUUGUACAACUAGAAAAACCUGGAAAGGUUUGCCAUAGAGGGUGAUAGCCCCGUAAAGGUAAAAGCAAAUAAGAUUCUUGAGUAAAGCGGGACACGAGAAAUCCUGCUUGAAGAUAGGGGGACCACCCUCUAAGCCUAAAUACUCUUCAGUGACCGAUAGUGAACUAGUACCGUGAGGGAAAGGUGAAAAGAACCCCUAUUAGGGGAGUGAAAUAGAACCUGAAACCGGAUGCCUACAAUCAGUCGGAGCUCUAUAUGAGUGACGACGUACCUUUUGUAUAAUGGGUCAGUGACUUUAUCUGUGCAGCAAGCUUAAGCCGAAAAGGUGUAGGCGUAGCGAAAGCGAGUCUGAAUAGGGCGAUGAGUUGUACGGAUAAGAACCCGAAACCUAGUGAUCUAGUUAUGAGCAGGUUGAAGGUAAGGUAACACUUACUGGAGGACCGAACCGGUGCCUGUUGAAAAAGGCUCGGAUGACUUGUGAUUAGGGGUGAAAGGCCAAUCAAACUGGGAGAUAGCUGGUUUUCCGCGAAAACUAUUUAGGUAGUGCGUUGAAUAAUAAGAUCUUGAGGGGUAGAGCACUAAAUAGGCUAGGGGGAAGAAAUUCUUACUAAACCUAAUAAAACUCCGAAUACUCAAGAUUGUUUCUCAAUAGACAGACGGUGGGAGCUAACUUCCAUCGUCGAGAGGGAAAAAACCCAGACCACCAUCUAAGGUCCCAAAAUCGUAGUUAAGUGUGAAAGGAUGUGAAGACUCCAAAACAGCCGGGAGGUUGGCUUAGAAGCAGCCAUCCUUUAAAGAAAGCGUAACAGCUCACCGGUCUAAUUAAGAGACUUUGCGCCGAAGAUGUAACGGGGCUCAAACUACGUACCGAAGUUGUGGAUUUAAAGUGUCUACGGACAUUUUAUCUGGUAGCGGAACGUUCUGUAAGUCUGUGAAGGGAUACCCGCGAGGGGUCCUGGAGAUAUCAGAAGUGCGAAUGCUGACAUAAGUAGCGACAAACAGAGUGAAAGACUCUGUCGCCGAAAAUACAAGGGUUCCUGCGUAAAGUUAAUCUUCGCAGGGUUAGUCGGCCCCUAAGGCGAGGGCGAAAGCCGUAGUCGAUGGGAACAAGGUAAAUAUUCCUUGACCUGAUGGUAGUGACGGAUCUCGUAUAUUGUAAGUUCUUAUUGGAUUGAACUUGCCUUGAAGAGGUCCCAGGAAAUAACUCCAUCAUUAAGACCGUACCCUAAACGGACACACGUGUAUUGGUAGAGAAUACCUAGGCGCUUGAGAGAAUGAUGUUGAAGGAACUCGGCAACUUGCCUCUGUAACUUCGGGAUAAAGAGGGCCUUAUUUUGCGCAAGCAGAGUAAGGUGGCACAAGCCAGGGAGUAGCGACUGUUUAACAAAAACACAGGACUCUGCUAACACGUAAGUGGAUGUAUAGGGUCUGACGCCUGCCCGGUGCCGGAAGGUUAAAGCAAGAUGUGCAAGCAUCGAACUGAAGCCCCGGUGAACGGCGGCCGUAACUAUAACGGUCCUAAGGUAGCGAAAUUCCUUGUCGGGUAAGUUCCGACCUGCAUGAAUGGCGUAACGACUGCUCCGGUGUCUCCAACAUCAACUCAGCGAAAUUGAAUUCUCCGUGAAGAUGCGGAGUUCCCGUGGUUAGACGGAAAGACCCCGUGCACCUUUACUACAACUUUACAUUGGUAUUAGAAAUGACAUGUGUAGCAUAGGAGGGAGACUUUGAAGUGGUGGCGCUAGCUAUCAUGGAGUCGUCAGUGAAAUACCUCUCUUGUUAUUUUUGAUAUCUAACUCCAUGCCGUCAUCCGGCUGGAAGACACUGUAUGGUGGAUUAGAUGUUUGUGUAAUACCAGUUCCUACAUUACCUAAUACAUUAAUGCCUUGUCCGCCUACAGGAAGACCUGUAGUACCACCUAAACCAGAACCAAUGCUAGAGAAGUUAAUGCCACCUUUUGCAGCACCGCCUACAUUACCUGCACCACCCAUAGCACCACCUAGAUAACUACCUGCACCACCUAAUGCACCACCGAUAGCUGCAUUUUGUAAUGCUGAACCUAGACUUUUACCUCUAAGUAAAGAUGUGCCACCACCAACACCUGCUCCUAUUGCUGCUGCUGUUAUUGGGUCACUCAUUAUCUGCCUACCUUUCCUACUACAUAGCAAAUGGGUUCUAAGAUAGCACGAUAAAUCAUGCCAUAAGUAUCACGUUUUUUACCACGUUUUUGUUUCCAUAUAUCAGCAGUCCUAUGUCUUGCGAUAUGCUCUAAAACACCCCUUAAAAUGCGUUGUAGAGUGUUCUUUUGACCACUCUUAUAAGCAUAGUUGACUAAUGGUAAGAAUAGUGUGUGAUAACCUU
rnacentral:rRNA from 1 species